rnacentral:rRNA from 1 species
GACGUAGGGCGCGAGCGUUGUCCGGAUUUAUUGGGCGUAAAGAGCUCGUCGGCGGCUUGUCGCGUCGGCUGUGAAAACCCGCGGCUCAACUGUGGGCGGGCAGCUGAUACGGGCAGGCUGGAGUUCGGUAGGGGAGACUGGAAUUCCUGGUGUAGCGGUGAAAUGCGCAGAUAUCAGGAGGAACACCGGUGGCGAAGGCGGGUCUCUGGGCCGAUACUGACGCUGAGGAGCGAAAGCGUGGGGAGCGAACAGG